GACGAACGCUGGCGGCGUGCUUAACACAUGCAAGUCGAACGGAAAGGCCCUGCUUUUGUGGGGUGCUCGAGUGGCGAACGGGUGAGUAACACGUGAGUAACCUGCCCUUGACUUUGGGAUAACUUCAGGAAACUGGGGCUAAUACCGGAUAGGAGCUCCUGCUGCAUGGUGGGGGUUGGAAAGUUUCGGCGGUUGGGGAUGGACUCGCGGCUUAUCAGCUUGUUGGUGGGGUAGUGGCUUACCAAGGCUUUGACGGGUAGCCGGCCUGAGAGGGUGACCGGCGAGAGGGGCACGGGCGGGCGGCGCAGGCCGCGAGGGGAGGGAGGAGGUGGGAGUCGUGGACGCGGGGCGGGCCCGUGGGGCAGCGACGCCGGGGGGGGGGUGGCGGCGUUGGUGGUGGACCCCCCGUGGGGUGGUGGCGAUGCGAGGGGGAGGAUAAGGGGUAAAGGAGCCACGGCGAACGCGGGCCGAGCGGCCGCGGUAAUAGUAGGAAGAGCAGACUGCUGCAC
rnacentral:rRNA from 1 species